rnacentral:rRNA from 1 species
CCCACCCACUUGAUGGGGUAAGGCUCCCAGUAGACGACUGGGUUGAUAGGCCGGAUCUGGAAGCCAGGUAACUGGUGGAGGUGACCGGUACUAAUAGGCCGAGGGCUUGUCCU